rnacentral:rRNA from 1 species
CACUUCUUGAUGAGCGGCAGACGGGUGAGUAACGCGUUGGAAUCUACCCCAGAGUGAGGGAUAGCCCGGAGAAAUCCGGAUUAAUACCGCAUAGUCCCGAGAGGGUAAAAGAGCAAUCUGCUCUGGGAGGAUCCUGCGUCCUAUCAGCUAGUUGGCGGGGUAAAAGCCCACCAAGGCUAUGACGGGUAGUUGGUCUGAGAGGAUGACCAACCACAAUGGGACUGAGACACGGCCCAUACUCCUACGGGAGGCAGCAGUGAGGAAUCUUCCGCAAUGGGCGAAAGCCUGACGGAGCGACACCGCGUGGAGGAUGAAGCCCUUUCCGGGCGUAAACUCCUGUUCUGAGGGACGAAAUUUUUGACGGUACCUCAGGAGAAAGCAUCGGCUAACCCUGUGCCAGCAGCCGCGGUAAGACAGGGGAUGCAAGCGUUACUCGGAAUUACUGGGCGUAAAGCGUCUGCAGGUGUCUUGCCACGUUUGGUGUCAAAUGAUGCGGCUCAACCGCGUCAACGUGCCGAAAACGAGCGAGAUUGAGUCAUUCAGAGGUACCUGGAAUGUCGUGUGUAGGGGUAAAAUCCGUAGAUCCACGAUGGAACGCCAAAAGCGAAGGCAGGGUACUGGGAAUGCACUGACACUCAGAGACGAAAGCGUGGGGAGCAAAGGGGAUUAGAUACCCCCGUAGUCCACGCCCUAAACGAUGCGAGCUCGAUGUAGGGGGUUCUCAAUUGCCCUCUGUGUCCAAGUUAACACGGUAAGCUCGCCGCCUGGGAAGUACGGUCGCAAGACUAAAACUCAAAGGAAUAGACGGGGACCCACACAAGCGGUGGAACAUGGGGUUUAAUUCGAUGGUAAGCGAAGAACCUCACCCAGACUUGACAUCCCGAGAAUCGACUAGAAAUAGUUGAGUGCCGCAAGGAACUCGGUGACAGGCGCUGCACGGUCGUCGUCAGCUCGUGCCUUGAGGUGUACUGUUAAGUCAGCGAACGAGCGCAACCCUCAUCUUGUGUUGUUUUUUCACAAGAGACUGCCGCCUCCAAGGCGGAGGAAGGUGGGGAUGACGUCAGAUCAGCGUGGCCUUUAUGUCUGGGGCGACACCCAUGUUACAAUGGUCGAUACAAAGGGCAGCCAAGCCGAAAGGUGGAGCCAAUCCCAUCAAAAUCGACCUCAGUUCGGAUUGAAGUCUGCAACUCGACUUCAUGAAGUUGGAAUCGCUAGUAAUCGCGGGUCAGCCAUACCGCGGUGAAUACGUUCUCAAGUCUUGUACUCACCGCCCGUCAACUCAAGGGAGUCGGGAGUACCCGAAGUCUCACUUUACGUGGGCCUACGGUAAGCUCGAUGACAGGGAGUAAGUCGUAACAAGGCACGGGUAGCGGAAGCUGUUCGUG